rnacentral:rRNA from 1 species
UACAGAGGUCCCAAGCGUUGUUCGGAUUCACUGGGCGUAAAGGGUGCGUAGGUGGCGAAGCAAGUCGGACGUGAAAGCUCGGAGCUUAACUUGGAAACUGCCAUUGAUACUAUUAAUCUUGAAUAUUGUGGAGGUUAGCGGAAUAUGUCAUGUAGCGGUGAAAUGCUUAGAGAUGACAUAGAACACCAAUUGCGAAGGCAGCUGGCUACACAUAUAUUGACACUGAGGCACGAAAGCGUGGGGAUCAAACAGG